rnacentral:misc_RNA from 1 species
AACGCACAUUGCGCCCCUUGGUAUUCCGAGGGGCAUGCCUGUUCGAGCGUCAUUUACACCACUCAAGCCUGGCUUGGUAUUGGAGUUCGCACACCAGCGGCUCUUAAACUCAGUGGCGGCGCCGGUUGGCUCUUCGCGUAGUAAUUCUCUCGCGAUAGGGUCUGUCGGUAGCUUGCCAGCAACCCCAAUUUUUUUAAGGUUGACCUCGGAUCAGGUAGGGAUACCCGCUGAACUUAA